AGCGAACGCUGGCGGCAGGCCUAACACAUGCAAGUCGAGCGCCCCGCAAGGGGAGCGGCAGACGGGAGAGUAACACGUGGGAACGUACCCUUUGGUUCGGAACAACCCAGGGAAACUUGGGCUGAUACCGGAUAAGCCCUCACGGGGAAAGAUUUAUCGCCGAAGGAUCGGCCCGCGUCUGAUUAGCUAGUUGGUGAGGUAACGGCUCACCAAGGCGACGAUCAGUAGCUGGUCUGAGAGGAUGAUCAGCCUCACUGGGACUGAGACACGGCCCAGACUCCUACGGGAGGCAGCAGUGGGGAAUAUUGGACAAUGGGCGCAAGCCUGAUCCAGCCAUGCCGCGUGGGUGAUGAAGGCCCUAGGGUUGUAAAGCCCUUUCGGCGGGGAAGAUAAUGACGGUACCCGCAGAAGAAGCCCCGGCUAACUUCGUGCCAGCCGCCGCCGUAA
rnacentral:rRNA from 1 species